rnacentral:tRNA from 1 species
GCCUUCGUGGUGUAGAGAUUAGCACGCUGGGCGCGUAAUUCCGGAGGUUCGUGGUUCGAAUCCUUGCGAGGGCA